CCUACGGGCGGCAGCAGUGAGGAAUAUUGGUCAAUGGACGAGAGUCUGAACCAGCCAAGUCGCGUGAAGGAUGACUGUCCUAUGGGUUGUAAACUUCUUUUAUAAAGGAAUAAAACGAGGCACGUGUGCCUUUUUGCAUGUACUUUAUGAAUAAGGAUCGGCUAACUCCGUGCCAGCAGCCGCGGUAAUACGGAGGAUCCGAGCGUUAUCCGGAUUUAUUGGGUUUAAAGGGAGCGUAGAUGGGUUGUUAAGUCAGUUGUGAAAGGUUGCGGCUCAACCGUAAAAUUGCAAUUGAUACUGGCAGUCUUGAGUACAGUAGAGGUAGGCGGAAUUCGUGGUGUAGCGGUGAAAUGCUUAGAUAUCACGAAGAACCCCGAUUGCGAAGGCAGCUUACUAAACUGUGACUGACAUUGAUGCUCGAAAGUGUGGGUAUCAAACAGGAUUAGAUACCCCAGUAGUC
rnacentral:rRNA from 1 species